GCCGCUGCGGAGCGUGGCGGACGGCUGAGUAACACGUGGCUAACCUACCCUCGGGAGGGGGAUAACACCGGGAAACUGGUGCUAAUCCCCCAUAGGGGAGGACGCCUGGAAGGGUCCCUCCCCGAAAGGGUGCGGCGGGGGUUAUCGCCGCCGUGCCGCCCGAGGAUGGGGCUGCGGCCCAUCAGGUAGUUGGCGGGGUAACGGCCCGCCAAGCCGAUAACGGGUAGGGGCCGUGAGAGCGGGAGCCCCCAGAUGGGCACUGAGACAAGGGCCCAGGCCCUACGGGGUGCACCAGGCGCGAAACCUCCGCAAUGCGGGCAACCGUGACGGGGUCACCCCGAGUGCCCCCUAAUUAGGGGGCUUUUCCCCGCUGUAAGAAGGCGGGGGAAUAAGCGGGGGGCAAGUCUGGUGUCAGCCGCCGCGGUAAUACCAGCCCCGCGAGUGGUCGGGACGAUUAUUGGGCCUAAAGCGCCCGUAGCCGGCCUGGCAAGUCCCCUCCUAAAUCCCCGGGCUCAACCCGGGGACUGGAGGGGAAACUGCCAGGCUAGGGGGCGGGAGAGGCCGAGGGUACUCCCGGGGUAGGGGCGAAAUCCUAUAAUCCCGGGAGGACCACCAGUGGCGAAGGCGCUCGGCUGGAACGCGCCCGACGGUGAGGGGCGAAAGCCGGGGGAGCGAACCGGAUUAGAUACCCGGGUAGUCCCGGCCGUAAACGAUGCGGGCUAGGUGUUGGGCGGGCUUAGAGCCCGCCCAGUUGCCGCAGGGAAGCCGUUAAGCCCGCCGCCUGGGGAGUACGGCCGCAAGGCUGAAACUUAAAGGAAUUGGCGGGGGAGCACCACAAGGGGUGGAGCCUGCGGUUUAAUUGGAGUCAACGCCGGGAACCUCACCGGGGGCGACAGCAGGAUGACGGCCAGGCUAACGGCCUUGCCCGACGCGCUGAGAGGAGGUGCAUGGCCGUCGCCAGCUCGUGCCGUGAGGUGUCCGGUUAAGUCCGGCAACGAGCGAGACCCCCGCCCCUAGUUGCUACCCGGAGCUCCGGCUCCGGGGCACACUAGGGGGACUGCCGCCGUAUAAGGCGGAGGAAGGAGGGGGCCACGGCAGGUCAGCAUGCCCCGAAUCCCCCGGGCUACACGCGGGCUACAAUGGCGGGGACAGCGGGAUCCGACCCCGUAAGGGGGAGGCAAUCCCUCAAACCCCGCCGCAGUUGGGAUCGAGGGCUGCAACUCGCCCUCGUGAACGUGGAAUCCCUAG
rnacentral:rRNA from 1 species